UCCUCUAUUCUCUCCUCCUUCAUUCUUCUGAUCUCGCUCCUCCUUCAUUCUCUCUUCUCUCUUCUCUCUUCUUUCGUUCCCUCCUCCCUCCUCUUCAACUCUUUUGACCACCAACCGCUGCCGCCACAACUUAACUUUGCCGCAACAUGCAACACCAAAUUUGAGGAUUUCAGGUCAAAUUCAAGAUAAUUUCUGGGCUUUUGGUGGAAUUCGAGGUAUAUUGAUUUACAUCUUAAAUCGAAGAAUCAAGAUGCAGGAAUAUUGAUGUUCCUUAAAAAAUUAUUUAUUUAUGAUGUAUGGUUUUUUUUUU